CCAUCUGUCUCAUCAAAAUAUUCGACUUCCUUUUCUUCUUUCUCUUCUUCAGUUCCUUGGACAACAUCCUCAGGACUUACUGCCCUCUUGUCCUUCCCCACAGGGUGGAAGCAGCUUGGCAUUGCCUGAGCCAUCAGGGUGUAUCUAGCUAUGGAGCCCAGCAGAGCCCCUCUGACAGCUGGAAGAGGAUGACCGGUCCUUUCCUGCAAAUGUAAAGAUCCUGUCUGGCAGAAGGGAAAUGAGAAGGCGGAAGUACAACAGGGAUGUGCUAGGAGAGCUCUGGUGAACGGGAUUUCCACCAAAUGGCUUUGCUCCUGCUAUGAGCCAUGAUCUCCCAUAGCUGGGUCUUCUUCUUCCUCUGAAACUCAACUACCUGUCAAAGCAAGACUGUAGCGACACCAAGGGCUCUGCACAAAAUUCUUCUGUUUGCUUCUGCAUUUGAUUAGCUGCCUGCAUUUUGUGUUUUAAUUUCCUGCCAUUGAAGCACAUUGCUGUCAUGGUGAUAGAUGCUAUAGAAAUGAGUAAAAUAAAUAAAUAAGAGUUCAGAACACUUUUGACCAAGUCUACGCUAAUUAGUGCACAAGACAGACAAGUGUUUUCUGGGAUUUCUGUCAACCAUAUCCCGAUUCCUCCCCUGCUUCUCAGAUAUCAGUGAAACCCUUUCUAGAAAUGGAAAUAGAGGCAGCAAAUGGUGCUGGGAAUACUCCAAGUAAGAUGUCUCCAUUCAGAGCCAGAUAUUAGUAGCAAACCAUCCACUUAACAACCACUGUGAAGCAGAGAAUAUUUAAUGUGAUGGUAGUAAAAAAGCAAAGAAGGCAAUAUUGUGAAACGGCUGGUGAAGGGCUACCCAGAAACCAUUCAGAGCUUGCGUGAGUGGGAUGCUCCACCUGUGAUGAGAGAAGCUGAUCUAGCAGCAAUAGAGAGAAGUAGGAGGGGAAGGAAAAGGGGGCUAUCUAUCACACUGGACAGGGCAGAAAGAUGGGAGGACCAAGAUUAAUCUUGUUAACGUAGCUGCUAACAGCAAAACAAAUGCUGUGGUAGCAUUCAUCUCUACUUCUGGUCUUCUUUAAAGAAAUUAAAAUAGCAAUAACUGUAAUGAGCACAGGGUUCAACAACAACAAAAUCGUUGAGUUUUGCAGGUGUAAAACAAAGACUGUACUUUCAAAGAGA